rnacentral:lncRNA from 1 species
CCUACAUGAACUUUUAUAAAAGAAAGUUGUGUAUCACUACAUUAACCAAAUGCAUUGGUAGGAUCAUCAGAUGGGUGGGUUACAGGGAAAAAAAACAGAAAAAAAGAAAAAAGAAAUUUCUUCUGUCUGUUGUUAUCACAUUCUUACUUUGGUAGAUGGUGGGGACUAGAUUUCUGGUAAGGGUAAUGAUAUAUUCUGAGAAAUUUAAUAGUUUUGAGAUUGUGGUCUGAUACAGAAAUUAGGAUGAUUGGCUACUAAAUGGCUUAAGAUAGCCCAAGAUAAUUUUUGCUCUCCAUACAGAACCCUGCCUUUUUUAACCUGAUGUUGGUCUGGUUAGCCAAAGUCAAGUACUCUGAAGGUUCUUUGAUGUAGAUGCAACUUAUAGAGAACUUGAGUUCACAGCUGUAAAAAUCUUGUGCUUCUCCUUAUAUCUUCCUUAGGUGUAGACACCAUGUCAGAUUUCUUGGGCAGAGGUUCCCUUUGGACGCCUCACAGGGUCCUAUGUCCUCAGCCACUGUCCUCUCCUGGAGCUGCCACAAGGUGCCCACAGCUGCCCUGGUCCCUGCAGGGUGAACAGAACUUCAGGCCCUGAGUCAGUUCCUCCUAGAGGACACCUGAGGUGUGGGGUGCAGCCUCUCAGGGAAGCUGCUGGGGGCUCUGAGCUGAGGAAUCUCCUGGAACAGGCCUCAUCUAGACAGCUACUUCCUUGGGACCUUGUUUUUCCCAAGCUCUGUUCCCAUUCCGUGGAGAGAGGUGGCCAGUCAGCCUGUGGAUGCUGGUGCUGAGGGGCCAGGUCACCAGUGAUUCCUGCCCUUUCAAUCUCUCACAGUGUGAAGGAGCAAAACCUCUCCCAGAGCAUAAGCAACGCCCACCCCAGUGCAGAGCUGUGCAAACCUGAAAAGCCUCGUAUACUGGCGUCAUGGUCUAGGUCCCUGGGAGGGUGAUCCUAGAGGUUUUCAGGAAGCAAGACCAGGAGGGAGCAUGUCCCAGAUGUCAGGGACCUUCCCUGCCCCUUGAGCCUGACACAUGUGUGCUCCCUCAGCACCAAAGCUUUCUGUGUAUCACUUUGAAAUGAUCUGCUCACAUUUUGAGGCCCAGGUCUAUUUUUUCAGAGCCA